UGGGGAAUAUUGGACAAUGGGCGAAAGCCUGAUCCAGCCAUGCCGCGUGUGUGAAGAAGGUCUUCGGAUUGUAAAGCACUUUAAGUUGGGAGGAAGGGCAGUUACCUAAUACGUAUCUGUUUUGACGUUACCGACAGAAUAAGCACCGGCUAACUCUGUGCCAGCAGCCGCGGUAAUACAGAGGGUGCAAGCGUUAAUCGGAAUUACUGGGCGUAAAGCGCGCGUAGGUGGUCGAGUAAGUCGGAUGUGAAAUCCCCGGGCUUAACCUGGGAAUUGCAUUCGAUACUGCUUGGCUAGAGUGUGGAAGAGGGAAGCGGAAUUUCCGGUGUAGCGGUGAAAUGCGUAGAUAUCGGAAGGAACACCAGUGGCGAAGGCGGCUUCCUGGUCCAACACUGACGCUGAGGCGCGAAAGCGUGGGGAGCAAACAGGAUUAGAUACCCAAGUAGUCCCUGAGCGGGCUGGCAAGGCGCAU
rnacentral:rRNA from 1 species